rnacentral:rRNA from 1 species
CCUACGGGUGGCAGCAGUGAGGAAUAUUGGUCAAUGGGCGGAAGCCUGAACCAGCCAAGUAGCGUGCGGGAUGAAGGCCCUACGGGUCGUAAACCGCUUUUGCACGGGGAUAACACCCUCCACUUGUGGAGGUCUGCAGGUACCGUGCGAAUAAGGGCCGGCUAAUUCCGUGCCAGCAGCCGCGGUAAUACGGAAGGCCCGAGCGUUAUCCGGAUUCAUUGGGCUUAAAGGGAGCGUAGGCGGGCGUUCAAGUCAGCUGUAAAAUCGCGCGGCCGAACCGCGCCCCGCAGUUGAAACUGGAGUGCUGGAGUGCACAACAGGCAGGGGGAAUUCGUGGGGGAGCGGUGAAA